CUACCGAGGUGAUCGUUUUGAAAUAUAUUCAAUUCAACAAUUAUCGGCUGUUCACGUUCGUUACAAAUACAAUAGACUAGCAGUAGUAGUAGUAGUAGUACCUAUAGUAUUUUUUUGAUGAAGAAACCACCUCUUCAACAUCGAAAUCAUCAGAAAUUUACUACUAUUUCUUUUCGGUUUAUAUUUAAAAUUUUCGUGUUUACCAUUACAGUUUAACCGUUACUUACAUACAAAAACAAACUACAAGUAUUUAUUUGUUUUUGUUUUAGUGCGUGCCUAGUGUAAACGUGUAUUUUGUUGUUUACAUUUUACAAGUUUAUUAUGUUUUGUUGUUUUCGAGUGAUAAAUAAAGUCAACCAUGUAAUAACAAUAGCAACAACAACAACUACAACAACGAUGCAAUGCAUAUCAUUAUGUUGAGAAAAAAAAGUAAACAAUAAUAUUUUAAACAACCACAACAACAACAUUUAGAAGAGUAGCAGUGUAAUAAUCAUAACAAAGAUAUUCAUUUAUGUUUUUGUCUAAUUCGUGCGUGUGUGUGUGUAUUUGACUAUAUUUAACACAACAACCAACAACACUACCUUCCACUAAGUGCUACGAACAACAACAUUACUACCACAAACAACAAUCGUACUCUAAUAACUGCUUUAACUCUGUGUUCAUUAUAAUCUCUGGCGAGUACACUACAAUACAAUAACAAACUUCAUAAAAUAUAUUAAUAAAAAAAAAAAUUCGUUAAAAUUAAAUAUUUUAAAUAAAACUCCGUCGGUGGCGCGCGUUCUAUUAAAAUAAAAAGAAGCCGUAGUUAAAAUUUGAAUUACAGUGUUAAUUACUUACUACAUGCCUACUACCAACACACAAAACACAACAAAAACAACAACAAUAAAAACACCUUCAUUUAAUUUGAAUAAAAUUCAAUUUAAUGUAAAUAAAAUUUUAAGAGAAAUGUCUAUAAAAUAUUUGCUAAAAUCAAAAAUUUCAUAAAUAAAUACAAAAGCAACAACAACAACAACAAGAAAACAAAACAAACAGGAAUUCCUACGAAAGAAGUCAGUCAGUCAUUGCAAAGUGAUCUGAUCCUAUUCUAAAAUAAUACACAGUGAGAAAUACAAAAAAAAAUAACAAGAAAAGGAAUGAAGUGCUCUUUUUUUUAAAGAAAAAAUAAGUGUAAAAAAUUUAUUUAAA